UCUCCGUUGGUGAACCAGCGGAGGGAUCAUUACUGAGUUGCAAAACUCCAACCCUUUGUCAUUAUUAUACUCUUCAGUUGCUUCGGCGGGCGGCCCCAGGGCGGGCUCGCGUCCGCCUGCCGAAGACCCUUUGCAAACUCUUUACUGUUUUUGUGUCCUUCUGAAGCCUAAAAAAAUAAGUUAAAACUUUCAACAACGGAUCUCUUGGUUCUGGCAUCGAUGAAGAACGCAGC
rnacentral:misc_RNA from 1 species